rnacentral:rRNA from 1 species
UGGGGAAUAUUGGACAAUGGGCGCAAGCCUGAUCCAGCCAUGCCGCGUGAGUGAUGAAGGCCCUAGGGUUGUAAAGCUCUUUCACCGGUGAAGAUAAUGACGGUAACCGGAGAAGAAGCCCCGGCUAACUUCGUGCCAGCAGCCGCGGUAAUACGAAGGGGGCUAGCGUUGUUCGGAUUUACUGGGCGUAAAGCGCACGUAGGCGGACUUUUAAGUCAGGGGUGAAAUCCCGGGGCUCAACCCCGGAACUGCCUUUGAUACUGGAAGUCUUGAGUAUGGUAGAGGUGAGUGGAAUUCCGAGUGUAGAGGUGAAACUCGUAGAUAUUCGGAGGAACACCAGUGGCGAAGGCGGCUCACUGGACCGUUACUGGCGCUGAGGUGCGAAAGCGGGGGGAGCAAACAGG